UACGGAGGGGACUAGCGUUGUUCGGAAUUACUGGGCGUAAAGCGCACGUAGGCGGAUUUGUUAGUCAGGGGUGAAAUCCCGAGGCUCAACCUCGGAACUGCCUUUGAUACUGCAAAUCUCGAGUCCGGAAGAGGUGAGUGGAAUUCCUAGUGUAGAGGUGAAAUUCGUAGAUAUUAGGAAGAACACCAGUGGCGAAGGGCGGCUCACUGGUCCGGUACUGACGCUGAGGUGCGAAAGCGUGGGGAGCAAACAGGG
rnacentral:rRNA from 1 species